UACAUGAGUAUUCAAUUAUUUUCCAUAAGAAUGAGGUUCUAUCAAUAAGAUAAUAUUUGUAAACAUCAUUCUGCAUAUUUCAGGUUACAGCCAGUGAAUGUUAUGACUGCAUGAACUAUCAUGGUCUGUAAGCAUCAUGUAACCUGGACAUCCAACUAGCCAAGAAACAAUGCAGUGGUGGAUCCAGAAUUUGUUAUAUGCAUGAAAGAGAAAAGACUCACCAUCAGGAUUGUGAAGUGCACAGGAAUCCUGGGAGUUUGGUUGACCAUUAACACAAAUGGCAUUACUGUAGGCAUCUGAGGAGAAAAAGUUCCCUAAUUAGUGAAGAAGAACUGGAUUAAUACCAGCAAUUCCUCGUAACGGCAUGUCAAGGGCAAUCCUUUGUGGGCCUUCAACCUUGGAGGAAACAACAUCUUCAUGAUUCAUGGUUCCAUAGAGUCCUGGGUAAAUUAAACAUAAGUUGUGUU